rnacentral:lncRNA from 1 species
UUCCUUCUUCUUUCCUCCAUUGCCGAACCUUCCUACCAUCUUGUUCAUCUCCAUUUUUCUCUUCAACCGUUUCAAAACCUUAAUAGCCUGUGGCCAUAAAAAGCCGAAAUCCCGAAAGCUUGAUUCUUUUUGUGCCGAUUUCUUAUAACCAAAACCACAUCUCUUCUCUUUAUCAUUUGUGGCCGAUUCACCAGCCCUAUAAAACCUCAAUUUUUGACAACAAGACCAUAGCAAAACCCUCUCGUUUUACCUUUCUAAAAAUAAGUUGAAAAAGCCGAAAACCCCACAUUAAAAGGGACUUGGCCGAAUACUAAAGUCACUGAAAACCCGACUUUUGUUAUCAUCUGAGGGCUUAGAUCUACAUCAGGAUCGAGUGGGAAACUCAUUGGAAUCAUUCACUACGGAAUCGGGGGUAAGUCUUCUCCAAAACUUAGUCUUCUUAUAUAUUUUAGGAAAAGCCGAAAUCCCUAAAAGUUAGGGAGGUUGUCGAUUUGGACUUGUAACCCUGAGGGGUCGUAAUAACUAUUUUGUUUUGGUAAUAGCAUGAUUUAGAGGUGGUUGAUCAAGGGCUUAGAUAGGUGGAACGAUCGGAUCUUUGGAGUUAACCAUCUUUCGGUAGUAAGGUAAGAGCAAUAAGGGUUUUAGGCAUGUUUGGCUGAAUGUGGUAGGGGACUAUAUACUCAAUCUUAUUUCGAUAUUUGGAGUAAUAUUAAGUGAUUCAAUUGUAGGCAGUUCGUGUGUAGAUCUCGUCGAGGAAAUCCCAAAAAUAGGUGUGUAACUGACACCCUCUCAUAGGCUAGAUCGGCAAAAGUCGAAAAGCCGAAAUGCCGAAAAGCCGGUAUUUUGGGCACUUGCGAGUGUGCGAAUGCUCGUAAGACGUAUGGGUAAUUAUUACUGGUAAUCGAAAGUGAUAAAACUGCAGUACGCGCGAUUUCGUGCGUUUUGAUAUUUUGGGCUUAAUGGGCCAAAACUGGGUUAAUGGGCCAACGGGCCCAAUUCGGUAAGAGCACUCGGUAAGUGUUUCUGGCUAAACGUAAUGGCUACGAUAUGCAUGAAAACCUUAGAAAUAGUUAGAUGUACUAGAAUACCCCUAUGUAUGCAAAAUUACCAUUAUACCCCUAUGUAUGUAAAAUUACCAUUAUACCCCUAUGUAUGCAAAAUGACCUCUAUACCCCUAGGGUUAAUUUUGUCUGAAAAGCAUGAUGAAUUAAAUCUUUAUGAUGUAUUCCAUGAAUGUAUAUCUGUUGCAUGGGGACAUGGGUUAUAUUAUGGAGGAAGCGUCCUGGUGGCUAUGCCACAAAUUAUCUGUUCUGGUGGCCCUGCCACAUAUAUCUGUUCUGGUGGCAUUGCCAUAAAAUAUCUGUAUUUGGUGACUCUGUCACAUUUUCUGUAUCUGGCAGCCAUGCUGCAUAUUUCUGUGGAGUGUAGCGGUUGGGUGGGUCGAGUAGUCUCCCCAUAUGGUGAAAGGAUGGUAUGGGGGUGCACAUGGUUGGAUAUGGUUGGGUUUCUGCAUAAGCAUGAUAUAUCUGUUCUGAUCUGUUCUGGGCCUAUGGGCUUUAUUCUGAAAUCUGUUCUGGGCUAAGGCCAACUUAUUCUGUCUCUGUGGUUUGAACUGAUUUAGGCUAUGGUUGGGUUGAAUUACACACUGAGUUUCCCAAAACUCACCCCCUAUUUUUUUUCUUCGCAGGUAAUCCUCAACCAUAGUGGGCUUGGAGCUGUGAGAGAUUCGGACUGGCCACCUGUUUCUACGAACCUGGUUUUUUUCUGGUGAACUGGACGUCCUUUUAAUUUCAUUUAUGGUUUUGGGUUUUAAAUGUAAUAAGGCCGCUUAACUAUUUUUAUGGUUUUGUUUUACUUUUAUUAUUUUAUUUUAUUAUGAUGAAAAACUAUGAUAACUAAGGAAAAUGGGUUAGCUUUAGGACACGUUUUCAAAAACAUUAAGUGAUUUCAAAAUAACACGAUUACAAGUAAGAUUUCCGCUAAGCAAACGUUUUCAAACUUAAUCACUUUAUUAGGAUGGACUUAACCAAAUGGUUUUCUCACAAUUAUACGAGAUGUUAGAGUGUGGCAAUGGCGGUGUGCAUGUCUAGGAUUGGAUCCGAAGGGAGCUUGGUACUUAAGCAGUCCGACAGACUCACCUCCUCUUUUUUUGGUUUCCUACCUGGUGCACAGCUCCCAUUCACUUUAACCUCUAUUAAAAGUAUCUUUUACAUCACCAAUAAGGUUUUCCAAACUAAGUAAUACGGAAUGUUUUGUACACAUCAAUGUGGCGCACCGGAUCCGGUCAUAACGUCUAGGCCGGAUUUGGGGUGUUACAGAUUUGAUAUAAGUGUAUAAAUAAAAAUAUACACAUUUGUAAUACAAGUAUUUGAUAAUAAAUAGAUAUUUAUUUAAAUAUUAUAUUAUUUCUAUAAUUAUUAAUUAAUAUUAAUAUUAAUAUUAUAUUAUAUUAUGAAAUAAAUUAAAAUAGUGACAAAUGUGUGGUAAUUAUAAAAUACAUGUGUAAUAAAUUGAAUACAUACAUUUGUAAUAUGUAUAUGUAAUUAUUAGUAGAUAUUUAUUAAUUAUAAAAGAUAUUUAUUAAUUAAAUAUUUAUAUUAUAAGAUUUUUAUGUAAUAAAUAUAUUAAAUUAUGACAAGUGUGUAGAUAAUAAAUGGAUACAAUUGUAAAAUAAAUAUUUGAUAUUAAUUAGAUAUUUAUUAAGUUAACAUAUUAUAUAUAUAAAGUAAAACAAAAGAAAAAGAAAUGAAAAAAAAAGAUAGAAAAGAAACAGAAUGAAACGAAACAGAGAGCAAGGAAGGGAAGAAAAGAAAGAAAGAGAGAAAAGGGAAAUUUGGGAUUUCAAGGUUUGAAAGUUUAAUUGGUAAGUCAAUUUAACCCUUUUUACUUAAUUUUGAUGUUUUAGAAGCUUUAGAACAAGAUUUUGAUGAAAUUAAGUUGAUAUUUUGAAAAUUAUUAGAUUUCUAGAUAAUGUUCAUGUUGAGUAAAAUGAUGAAUUAAGGACUAAAUUGAUAGAAAUUCAAGUUAGAAAUGAAAUAAGGAUUGAAUUGUAAAGUGAUUCAUAAGUUUUAUGCUUUAAAGACUAAAUUGAAAGAAUUUUGAAAUUAUGGUUUUAUGAUGAAAAAUAGAUAAUUAUGUCUAAGUUUGGUUAAAAAUUUAGUAGAAAUAAAGAAUGAAUUAAGAUAGAAAAGUAAGUGAAUUUAGUUUGGAUUAAAUUGAAAUUAAAAGUAGAAAAUCAACAUUUUGCACUAAGACUUUUUGGGACAGCAGCAGUAGUCUAAGUUUGAAAAAUCACCAAAAAUGUAUAAAUUGAAUUAGAGGAUGAAUAAAAUAUGGGAUUAAAUAUUAUUGAGUCUAGUUUCUUAUAGAAGAAAUGGUAUAAGCAAUUGAAUUGUAAAUUAUGAGAUAUAAUGAAUUUUGUUAGACAAUGUCAGAAUGAAUUCGGGUUCCUAUGUUCUGACUUUGGAAAAUCACCAAAAAUUGGAGAAAAAUAAUUAGAGGCUUAAAUUUAUAUGUUUAGAAUCCGUAAUGAGUCUACUUUCAGGAGAAAUCAACAGGAAUAUUAUCCGAGUUUUGUACUGUGAGAUAAUUAAUUUUUAGUGAAGAAGGGUCGAAACUGUCAGACAACAGAAUAGGGGUGAAUUUAAAGAAUAAACUGUACUUAAUGGCUAAACCAAAAAUUCUGAAAAUUUUAUGAUAAGAAUAUUUGUGAGUCUAGUUUCAGGAAAAAUUAGCGGAUCUUAAUUUAGAAUUCUGUAACUCAAGAUAUAAAUUAGUAAUGUAUUAAUGAUUAUGAAUUGUAUUAAUUUCGUAGUCAAUGUGGUACCGGAAAUCUCGGCUAAGAAAGGACUAGACAAAGUCAACGGGAGUUAGCUCAAAAAUUACGGUUUGUAUUUCUAUAGCCCGAACUUAAUAUUUAAUUAUUGAAUUUAUUAUUUAUUAUGUAUGGUAGGUGCAUUGAUUAAAUUAUUUGAAAUAAAAUGAAUAUUGAUUGAAAUUAAAAGGUGAAUUUAAUUAAUAAUUGUUGUAUUUUAAUUGAAUGUUAUGGUAAAUAAUUAAAGUAUGAAUUAUUGGUAUUGUGUUUUUAUUGAAAUGAUUUGAUUUGAAAAUGUGGUGAAAUAAUUAUGAACAUGUGUUUAUUGUGAAAUUGAAUAUUUAUUAGUGAAAAGUGAAUGGAAUUAUAUUGAAUUGAAAAAAAAUAUAAUUAAUUAAUUAAAUAUGAAUUAAUUGAAAACUGAAAAGUGAAUUAAAUACCCUAUUAACUAGUCGGGCUAGUCGGAUAUAGUUGGCAUGCCAUAGGAUAUGAAAGUGUACAGGUUUUUGUCGGCUUACUGAUCAGGCACUUAUGUGCCGACUACUGUUACUGUUACCGUUAUUAUUACCGAUUCGGCACUUUUUGUGUCGGAUAUUGUUACUGUUACUGUUUUGGAUUUGUUUUGAUGAGGUACUCUAUGUACCGUAUUGCUACUGUUACUGUUAUUGUUUCGGCUUCGGCCGAUAAGGCACUAUGUGCCGUACUGGUGUGUUGGUUGGAUCCGUGUAUCCGUCUGAGUCCGAGUCAUGUUAAUAGGGGUAAGUAAAGGAACUGGAAAGAUCGACUGUUACUGAAUAACUGAUUAUUAUUGAAUAAUUGAUUGUUACCGAAUAACUGACUGUUACUGAAUAAAUAAUCGUUCUGAUUGACUGGUUGUUAAUGAAUAUUACUGAUUGAUUAAUUGCUAUUGAAAAAUAAUAAAUGAUUUUGAAUUUAAAGUAGACCAAAACAUUGGUUGGAAAGUGAAUGUUUGAAUACUCAUUGAGUUUGAAUAGUUCAAUAUAUAAAAAUUAAUAUGUUUUAUAAUUGUUUAAGUGUUCGGAUUAUAGAAAUACCACUGAGUGUAUACUCAACGUACGGUUUGUUUCCGUGCGCAGGUUAAGGUUAGACCGUUGAAUCAGCAUCCCAGGCCGAUCCCGAAUUCAAUGCGUUAAAGUAUGUUGAGUAUUGGUAAUGGCAUGUACCUAGGAUGUCUUAUGAGAGUCAUUUAGGUUGUGAAAGUAUUGAUAAAAUAAGUAAAUUAUGGUUGGCAAUGGUAUAUAGUAUGAAUCUGAAAUUUGAAAGAAAAAUUCGUAGUAAUUCAAAAUUAGUUCCGAAUUGAUUUUACUGUUCAUAUUAGAUCGCAAGGGCCCAUUAAAGGGAUGACAUCUUAAAAUUAUGAUGAGUCUGAACGUUUAUAUUUAAUUAAUGUCUGUAUUGUACUCUACUGACUGGUAAUGUCUUGUAACCCUGUUCCGGCGACGGUAUGGGGUUAAGGGACGUUACACAAGAGGAAAAAGCUAAAGCCGAAUAUUGAGAGAAGAAGUUCCAAGAGAUGCAAUCGCGAAAUUUGACCUUAGAAAAAGAAAAUCAAGGUUUAAAGACUAAAGUAACUGAGCUCGGGCGAUCCCUUCAUCUGCAUCGAAGUCGUGAUUCUACGGUUGAGGUAAAAAAAUUAAAAGCCAAAGUUGAGGAGUUGGAAUCAGCAUUACAGGAUAGUAAGCUCCUAAUCGAGCAGUUUGGGGUAUGAGAAGAUCAUUUGAAGGGAGAGCUUCAUCAGUCUAGAGGACAGGUCAGAGAAAGGGAUCACGUCAUUGGAGAAGCCGUAGCCCAGAUUCGAGAGGUUGCUGAACACGUGCAAGACUUGGCAAUACGAGUUGAUGUAUUGAGUUUGAUGUAUGAGUCAUCGUCGGAUAUAGGAUGAGAGUUAGCUUUUUUAUCAGAUAGAGUUAAAAUUUUGGGCAUUAGGGCGAAAGCGUAUUUGUAAUGCUCUUAUAUGUAAGGAUAUUCUUUUUCUAAAUAAAGUUUUGUAAAUGAGAUUGAAUCAGAAUCGAUGUCCUUUUUGCAUUCAUGCAUUUGCAUCUCAUAGCAUUUCAUCGCAUCGUUUGCAUUCAAAGUUAUAGAAAGACCCUAAUUAGUUAAAAUUACCACAGAAGUAGAAAAGAAAAUCUGGAAACCACGCAUUAGUACGGAACUCGUGCAAAAUCUAGGAAUAUAGAUCAAAGGUUUGAACAGCUACAAAAGGACAUGCAGGACCAAUUGCAAGAGAAAUUGGCCAAGAUGCAAAACGACAUGAGGGAGCAAAUGUUAGAGGCUUAGAGGAAUAUGAUGACUGAGAUGGCUCAGUUGCUGAGGGCCACUAAUAAGGGAAAAGCCCCUAUGGCAAUCACUGGUGAGGAGGAAGAGGAUCAUCUUUCAGGCUUUACUCCACCCCACGGGCCUACACAAACUGAGGCACUUCCUAGGAGGCCAUCUGUCACUAUAAGGCCUCAACAUGGACCGGUUGAUGCUGGGAUCCACAUGAAUAACCCAACUAGUUCGGGAUUCAAUUUGGGUGACAACCCUACCAAUCCUCUCAUUCCUGACUUGGAUGUGGCUGAAAAGGAAGAUUUGAGAGCCGAAGCUGCAAAAUAGUUGGAGAAACAUUGUAGAUGGUUGGAGGAGAAAUUUAAGGCUCUAGAGAGUGCUGAUGGGCAUCAUGGAGUUGAUGCCAAAGGCUUGAGUUUAGUCCUAGACUUGGUGCUUCCCCAUAAAUUCAAAAUGUCAGAGUUUGAAAAGUACAAUGGGACUACUUGCCUAGAGGCCCACAUUACGAUGUUCUGUAAGAGGAUGACCGGAUAUGUGAACAAUGAUCAACUGUUGAUUCAUUGUUUCCGAGAUAGCUUAGUGGGAGUAGCAGCCAGGUGGUACAAUCAGUUGAGCCGGGCCAGAAUAAAUUCAUGGAGGGAUCUUGCACAAGCCUUCAUGCAACAAUACAAUCAUGUGACUGACAUAACGCCGGAUAGAAUCACGUUGCAAAAUAUGGAGAAAAAGCCUAAUGAGAAUUUUAGGCAAUAUGCUCAAAGAUGGAGAGAGGCUGCCAUGCAAGUUCAACCACCAUUGUUGGAGAAGGAGAUCACCAUGUUGUUCAUCAACACUCUGAAGGCUCCAUUCAUUACUCAUAUGAUUAGAAGCACUACCAAAAGUUUUGCGGACAUAAUCAUGGCGGGAGAGAUGAUUGAGAACGCCAUAAGAGGUGGCAAAAUUGAGGGGGAAGCAGCCAAAAGAUCGGCUCCAAAGAGAAAAGACAAUGAGGUAAAUAACACAAGUAGCUUCAACUCGAAGGCAGUCAUAGUUAGUCAACCCAAAGUAGCUGCGGUUGGGCAACAAGGUUCUCAAAGGCAGGAAUCGUGCACAAGGCACGAGAGGAUGCAAUUCACACCUAUCCCUGUGACGUAUCGUGAGCUUUAUCAAAGCUUAUAUGAUGCACAUGCUAUUGCUCCUUUCUUCUUGAAACCAUUACAGCCUCCAUAUCUUAAAUGGUAUGAUGCAAAUGCUAGAUGCGAAUACCACGCUGGAAUAUCAGGGCACUCAAUUGAAAAUUGUACCGGAUUCAAGAAGGCUGUGGAGAGGUUGAUCAAGAUGAGGGUUGUGAAAUUUGAUAAUACCCCAAAUACGGAAAACCCUUUGCCAAAUCAUGACGAUCAAGGAGUGAAAACAAUUGGUGAAGCUAGUGAGAGAAGGAUGAAGGAAAAUGUUGCUGAGGUAAGGAUGCUUAUGAAGGUGAUUUGGGAGGAGAUGAUGAAGAGAGGGAUGAUAACCUCUAGGAGAGAAAGAGAAAAAAUGGGGAACUACUGUGAGUUCCAUGGAAAAGAGGGUGAUGAGACCCAAAAUUGUGAAGAAUUCAGAGCCUUGGUGCAAGGUUUUAUAGAUAAUAAAGAGCUACAAAUUUUUGAAGGUAGCUCUUACAAAAGAGAAAUAAGUGUGCUGGAAGAUGAACAAAAAGGAACCAGUCGGCCAAGGAUUAUUAUCUCCCUGCCAGGGAAUAACGAAGUGGAGACACCAGCAGUGCCCAAGGUCAUUAUCCGUAAGCCUACUCUUUUCCUUUACAAGGAUAGCAAGAGAGUACCAUGGAGUUGUGACUGUAGUGUGACAGUGCCGGAGAAAGAAAAUAUAGCCAGCACAUCUAAAGACGUACAAGUUGAAGGUUCCCACACGCGGAGUGGGAAGCGUUAUGAUACGGGGGGUGUCAGAGUGGAGCCCACAAAAACAAAAGGUGUCGAGGUUGAGAAGGAGAAAGAGACCGAAGUACCCAUCAAUGAGCCAGUAAAGGAGAAGGAGGCUAAGGAAUUUCUAAAGUUCCUUAAGCAUAGCGAGUAUAGCAUGGUCAAGCAAUUGCGUAAGCAGUCGGCUCGCAUAUCAGUAUUGGCUCUACUUUUGAGUUCUGAGGCGCAUAGGGAAGCAUUGAUGAAGGUGCUUAACGAAACAAAUGUCACCCAUGACAUAUCCGUUAAUAAGCUGGACCGAUUGGUGAACAACAUUAGUGCGGAUAAUUUCAUCUACUUUAAUGAUGAUGAAAUCCCACCGGGAAGCAGAGGGUCAACUAAGGCUUUGCACAUUACCACUCGAUGCAAGGGGUACACACUCCCAAGCGUACUCGUUGAUAAUGGAUCGGCUUUGAAUGUUCUACCGUUGUCUACAUUAAACAGAUUACCCAUUGACGAUUCUCACAUGAAGACAUGUCAGAAUGUGGUAAGAGCCUUCGACGGUACAGAAAGGAAGGUGAUGGGAAGAAUUGACAUUCCCUUGGAAAUUGGGCCGAACAUGUAUGAAGUAGAUUUCUUAGUAAUGGAUAUCAAGCCUUAUUACAAUUGCUUAUUAGGCAGGCCAUGGAUACACUCAGCAAGAGCAGUGCCCUCAUCGUUGCACCAGAAAUUGAAAUUAGUGACAGAUGGACGGUUAAUAACCAUCAAUGCGGAGGAGGACAUUAUAGCCGCAGUCACUAGUAAGACCCCUUAUGUCGAGACAAACGAAGAAUCUAUUGAGUGUUCCUUUCGCUCUUUAGAAUUCGUAAAUGCGACUUUCAUUUUGGAAGGGAGUGAGCUCCCGGUGCCAAGGAUAGCAAGAGCUAUGAGGAUGGCUCUACAAAUAAUGGCAGGAAAGGGAGCCUUACCAGGAAGAGGUUUAGAAAAGUAUCUGCAAGGAGGGACUCAGAUCCCAAAGUUGAUUGAGAAGAAAGACCACUUUGGUUUGGGCUUCAAGCCAGACUAUAAGCAAAGGAGGAAAGACAUCGAGAAGCGCCAAGAAAGGAGAAGGGCGCGUUUAGAUGGAAGAGAAGUGGGGUGGGAAUCAAUGACAUUCUCUCUUAUAUCUAAAACCUUCAUAUCAAAAGGAUUACUUGUAGAAGAGAGUCAUCAGAUUAAUGCUGCACACGACGAAGGAUUAGAGCAAAGAAACCUUGAGGGCAUUCGCCCUUACGAAUCGGGAAGCUCUCUGAACAAUUGGACUACGGAGGAACUUCCUGUAGUCUUUAGGAAUUUUUCAGAGUAAUUCUCGAAACAUUCUUCUAACUCUAGAGCCUAGGAGUAAUAGAAUUACAUUUGUGAAAUAGGCUUAUGAUCAUCUAUUAUCUUUUUAAUAAAACAUAUCUUUUAUCAAUUCAACGAGUAUUGUUUCAUUUUUAUCAACUAAUAUUUCGUUAAAAUUUUUACAAUUCUCAUUCUUUCAUUCAUAGUACAUAAAUAAUCAUUCUUAAAUUCAUUCAUUCUUUGUAUAUUCUUUGUACUUCUCAGAUCUCUAGAUAUCAAUUACAUGAGCAUUGAUAUUACAAAUCCUGAUUUCUCUCGCGAGCAAGACAUGUGUUUAGAGGAAUCCCUGGAUUUUGAAGAUGUCCAAGAUUGUGAUGUGUCUCUAGAUCUUUUGAAGAUGGUGAAAUAGGAGGAGAAACAAAUCAUGCCACAUGAGAAAGAGGCAAUAGAGAAUGUAGCCUUAGAGGAAGGGAAAGAGGUGAAAAUUGGGACACUUAUUGCCAAGGACACAAGGCAAGGACUGAUUAAGCUGCUAAGUGAAUUCAAGGAUAUCUUCGCAUGGUCCUAUCAGGAUAUGCCAGGGUUAAAUACCGAUAUUGUGGUGCAUCGUCUUCCAAUAAGACAGGAUUGUAAGCCAGUCCAACAAAAGUUGCGGAGAAUGAGGCUAGAUAUUGUUUUGAAAAUAAAGGACGAAGUUAAGAAGCAGUUCAAUUCGGGAUUCUUACAAGAAGUAAAGUACUCAGAAUGGGUAGCUAACAUUGUGCCUGUUCCAAAGAAGGAUGGAAGGUACGAAUGUGCAUUGAUUACAGAGAUCUGAACAAAGCUAGCCCAAAGGACAAUUUUCCUUUGCCACACAUCGACACUUUAGUAGACAACACAGCAGGAUAUUCGUUGUUCUCUUUCAUGGAUGGUUUCUCGGGGUACAAUCAGAUAAAGAUGCAUCCAGAGGACAUGGAUAAAGCUACCUUCAUAACCUUGUUGGGUACCUUUUGCUACAAAGUGAUGCCGUUUGGGUUGAAGAAUGCGGGGCAACAUACCAGCGGGCCAUGGUGAACUUGUUCCACGACAUGAUGCAUAAGGAUAUUGAGGUGUAUGUUGAUGAUAUGAUUGCCAAGUCGCGUACAGAAAAAGAGCACAUUGAGGUCUUGAGAAGAUUGUUCUUGAGAUUGAGAAAGUUUCAGUUGAAGCUCAAUCCAGCAAAGUGUACCUUUGGAGCUAGAUCAGGAAAGUUAUUAGGCUUUUAGUCAGUGAAAAGGGAAUUGAAGUUAACUCGGACAACGUCAGAGCCAUACGAGAAUUACCUCCACCACAAACUCAGAAGGAAGUUCGAGGAUUUCUAGGAAGACUGAAUUACAUUGCUCGGUUUAUUUCACAACUAACUGAGAAGUGUGAUCCCAUCUUUCGCCUCUUUAAAAAGCACAAUCAAGGUACUUGGGAUGAGGAAUGCCAGAAUGCUUUUGAAAAGGUCAAACAGUACUUGUUGAAUGCUCCGGUGUUAUCUCCGCCCAGUUCAGAUAGACCACUAAUACUGUACUUAUUAGAAUUCAGCAAUUUCAUGGGAUGUGUGCUUGGCCAACAUGAUGAGUCAAGAAGAAAGGAGAAGGCGAUAUAUUACCUCAGUAAGAAAUUCACCGAAUGUGAAAUAAGAUACUCGCCUAUCGAAAAAUUGUGUUGCGUUCUGAUUUGGACAACUCGGAGGUUAAGACAGUACAUACUAUAUCAUACUACUUGGCUUAUUUCAAAACUUGAUCCUUUGAAAUAUAUGAUGGAGUCAACAUCGUUGAAUGGGAGAAUGGCGAGAUGGCAAAUACUGCUUUCAGAAUUUGAUAUAGUCUAUGUGAGUCAAAAGGCUAUAAAAGGAAGCGCGAUAGUAGAAUUCCUCGCUAGUAGAGCUUUAGAAGACUAUGAGCCAUUGAAUUUUGAUUUCCCAAAUGAGGAGUUGAUGUGUGUAGCAACUACAGAGGAUUGUCUUUGGAAGUUGAGCUUUGAUGAGGCAUCCAAUGCAGUGGGAAAUAGAAUUGGGGCAGUCCUGGAAUCCCCGAAUGGCGAUUAUUAUCCAUUCACAUACAAGUUAGUUUUUGAUUGCACAAACAAUAUGGCCGAGUAUGAAGCAUGCAUCAUGGGACUCCAAGCGACAAUAGCGCGAGGAAUAAGAACCUUGGAAGUAUAUGGAGACUCUGCAUUGGUAAUUUAUCGGCUUAGAGGUGAAUGGGAGACAAGGGAUCCUAAAUUGAUCAAUUAUUGAAAGAUAGUUUUGGGGUUACUUGAGGAGUUCGAUGACAUCACUUUCAAUUAUAUCCCGCGAGACGAAAACCAGAUGGCAGAUGCUCUAGCAACCUUGGCUUCAAUGAUUAGAAUUAAUAAAGAGGAGGAGAUGAGACCCAUUCAGAUGAGUAUUUUUGAGGCUCCAGUUUGUUGUUGUAACAUUGAGGAAGAAGAAAAGGAUGAUAACCCUUGGUAUUAGGAUAUAUUGUGAUAUGUGAGAGAUCGUAAAUACCCAAAACAAGCAACUGAAAAUGAUAAGCGAACUUUAAGGAGAUUAGCCUGUGAUUACGUUUUGGACAGGGACAUCUUGUACAAAAGAAGAAAGGACCAAGUACUUUUGAGAUGUGUUGACGCCGUGGAGGCUAAGUUAAUUUUAGAAGAGGUUCACGAGGGUGUUUGUGGGACACACGCUAAUGGUUUCACGAUGGCUAGACAAAUCAUGAGGUUUGGAUAUUAUUGGUCUACUAUGGAAGGGGAUUGUAUCAACUACAUCAAGAAAUGCCAUAAAUGUCAGAUUUAUGGAGACAAGAUACAUGUACCACAUUCACCUCUACAUGUUAUGACUUCUCCAUGGCCCUUUUCCAUGUGGGGCAUGGAUGUCAUUGGGCCAAUAUCACUGAAAGCUUCGAAUGGACAUCGGUUUAUCUUCGUGGUCAUUGACUACUUCACAAAAUGGGUAGAGGCCGCUUCUUAUGCAAAUGUUACUAAGUCGGCUGUGAGUCGAUUCUUGAAGAAAGAGAUAAUUUGUCGAUAUGGGAUGCCUGAGUGUGACACCCCUAAUGUGACCCUAGUCGGAAAGUGGUUUCGGGACCACAAAACCGAGUCAUAAAAAUAAUUAACCGUCAUACUUGAUGCUUAUUAUAUGUAUAUAUGCAUGUGUGAAAAUUUCAUGUUUGAAUUUUGUUAAUUGAAAGUGAAUUUUAGUAAUAGGACUUAUGUGUGACACUUUGAAAUGUGAUGGGUUAAUCUAUAAGGAUCUAUUAGUUCAUGUUAUGAAAAUAAUGGGUUUGCAUGUCAAAUUUCCACCUAUGACAAGUAGUGGCCGGCCAUGCUAUGGGAUGAAAUGUAUUAUAAACAUUUUAUGUUAGUGUUUUAUGUUAGAAAUAAUAAAAUAAAGAACAUGGGUAAUAAAAUAAUAGUGGUUAGUAGGGGAGAAACAAAAAAAUUAGCUAGGUUGCUCCUCCAUUGCCGUGACUUGAGGGAGGAAGAAGAAAGUUUGGUUGCUUUAAUUUUUGGCUUAGAAGAUGGCUAGAAGGAGGAAAAACUAUGAUUUUAGCUAGUUAGGUAGCUGAAAUUUCAAGUAACUCGGUAAUCCAUCGAAGAAGAGGAAGAGGGCUGCAACAAAAAGAAAAAUGGAGACAGUUUGCAUGUUGAAGGAAACUAAGGAUUUAGCUUGUUUAAGAGUUGUAUCCUAAGUUGGUAAGUUUUCUAAGCUCCCCUCUAUCUUUAACUUUGUUGUAAAGAAAAAAUGAUGAUGGAUUGUGGUUGGAAGGCAUGGAUGUGGGUGGUAGAAAAGAAAAGCUCUUUGAUUAGUUGUAAAAAUUACUACUGUCCAAUUUUGUGCCUUCGUUAUGCUGUCCAAAAUUUGAACAAAUUAAUGGUUCUAUUUUCAUGCCGAUUAGGGGUUGAUAAAUUGAGUCUAAUAGCUAAAAUAUUAUGUUAUUCUUACUAAGUUUCAGUUGUUAGUAGUGACGUAACAAUGUGACAAUUAAAUGCAUAAAUGACUGCUGGAAACUCCAGCUUGAAAACAAAUUGUUCCAGCAUGUAAAUGCUGAUUUGAAUGUGCUGUAAUAUGUGGAGGAAUUGGUCUGCUGCAUGUUUGAAAUAAAAGAAAACAAUGGUUGUUAAAUAUUAGUUUUUGUUGCUAGUCGUAUGGGUUUAAUUCAUUGUUCAAGGGGCUAUAAAUUGGUGUUAAUUAAGCUAUUAGGAUGGUCUAAUAAAACAGCCUGAAUGUUAAAUAAUGCUUGCUGUCCAGAUUGAAAUUAUGCUAGAAGGUUGAACAAAUGGAAUUUUGGAGUGUUUAAUGGACUCCAUGUUGCUAAAAUUUACAUGAAUAGAAAUUUCUAAGCUUAAAUUGUAAGAAUUUGAGUUGUGUGGUUUAAAUUGUCAAAGAUGCAUUUGGCAAUUGAUUAUAAUUUGUUAAAGGGUGUAAAGUAUUGAUAGUUCUAAAUGGUACAUAGUUAAAUGAAGAUGGAAGCUUGAUAAACUUUUAUUUAGAAUGUGAAUUAGAUAUAAAUUAAAUAAGCAUGAAAUCGAAUCAUGGCAUGUUUUAUUAAAUAUGAUACAUAUUGAAAUCUAUUAUUUUAGAUGUAGAUUAAAUGAUAUGUGAUUGCCAAAUGUGAUUGUUAAGUGAAUAAUAUUAGUUAAGUACUUAAGCAAAUCUAUUGUUUUACUUAAGCUUAAGAGCAAAGAGGAUCAAAGUCGGAUAGGGGAAAAGAGAAAGUAAACGAAUAGCCGUGGAUAUCUAGUCGUCGACCACUUCCGAGGUAAGUUUUAAGUGAUUAAACGUUGAGUAAAUUCAAUCAUAAUAGGACAUAAUGAGUUGAUUUAAUAAGAUAUGAUGUGGCCAUGAUAUGUCUUAAACUCAAAUGGUAAGUUCAUAAGUGUUUCGACUUGGAAAUUUAAGAGCAAAUUGCAAUAAUUUGCUUAGGAUAGCAGCCGUAACGUGAUUUUAGAAAAUCACUAUAAAUUUUUGGUGUGGAAUUAUAGGCUGAAUAAAAUAUGUAAUCAAAGCUUAAUUAGUCUAGUUUCUUAUAAAAGAGACCGUGUAAGCAAAGAAAUUUCCUAUAAAGAGAUAUUUAAAGUUGUGUGAGACAGUGUCAGAAUGACUCCGAAAUCCCCUGUCCUGUAUUUAGAAAAUCACUAUAAUUUGUAAAAAAAUGGUUACAAGAUAAAAUUUAUAUGCUUAGACUCCUUAAUUAGUCUAGUUUCAAAUGAAAUCAAAUAGAACAUAUUUUGAAUUCUGUACAAUGAGAAAUUUGAUUCGUAGUGAAGACUGGUCAGAUUAGUCAAACAGUGAAACAGGGGAAACUUUAAGAAAAAUCUGGUAUUGAUUGGCCAAACCAAAAAUUCUUAAAAUUUUCUGGAUAAGAUAUGUAUGAGUCUAUUUCCAGGGAAAAUUAACGGCACUCCAUUUGGAGUUUCGUAGCUCCAUUUACGAAUAAUUUAAUGACUGUUGCUCAGAAAAAACCAGCUUGUGCUGAGUUUGGGAUUUUGUUGUAAACCUUAAUAAAACCAUUUGAGUUGCUUAUAAGCUAUCGAUUAAACAUUGGUAAUCAAAGUACCAAAUCCGUAUUAAAGUGAAGCUAUAAGCCACAAAUGACUAGUAUACCUAGUCAAUUUUAUUAUGAUGAAAUUGAUGUACAAGUAUAUAUAUGUGAUAGGGCCGAGUGGCCAAUGUGAUGAAUGUGAAAGUAUAUAUAUGCGUGAUAAGGCCGAAUGGCCAAUGUGAUGAAUGUGAACAUGUGUAUGUGUGAUAAGGCCGAAUGGCCAAUGUGAUGAAUGUGAACAUGUGUAUGUGUGAUAAGGCCGAAUGGCCAAUGUGAUGAAUGUGAACAUGCAUAUAUGAGAUAAGGCCGAAUGGCCAAUGAGAUGAAUGUGAAAGUGUAUAUAUGUGAUAAGGCCGAAUGGCCAAUGUGAUGGAUGUGGAAGUGUAUAAAUGUGAUAAGUCCCGAAGGGCAAUUGUGUCAGUACUAUAUCCGGGUUAAAACCCCGCAGGCUUUAUGCGAGAAUAUUAUCCUGAUUAAUUUCCGUAGGCUUCGUGCUCGUACUAUAUCCGAGCUUUAAAGACCCGACGGCUAAAUGCUAGGAUUCAAGUAAGACUUUGAUAUUGAGUAUCUGCAUUAAGUUACCAUCAAAUAAGUAUUAUGUAUUCACGAUGUUCAGGUACGUAUUACUUACUCAUCGGUGGUGUGAUUUCGAGGUGAAUUAUCAGUAUCAAAGAGGUAGGUAAAUGUGAUUAAUAUUAUAACUCCAAAUGUGAGAAUGAUCUAAUUGGUAAUGGUAUGUUUGUAUAAUAAAGUAUGCGAUGAAAUAUUCUUAUGUAUUAGUGCAUAUUCUGCCCAAAAGCCUUAUGAUCUGAGUAUGGGUUGGGUUGAGCUAGAUGUGCCAGUACAAGGUAAGGAUUAUGAUUUGUAAGCUUACGUAUAUGUGAUAAGGAAUAUGUUUGGUUCUUUAUGUGCCUAUGGUAAUUUAGUACUUGUCAUGUUGAAAUACUUAAAAGUAUGGAUGUGAUUAUGAACAAGUGGAAAGGAUUAUUGAAAGUUGAAAAUCGAUGAAGAAUGUGCUUUGGAAAUAUUUGACCAUCUAGGUCAUUAUUAUUCGAAAGUAUAUAUGUGGCAGCCAAGUGUUGCGUUUAAUGAUAUUAUAGAUUGAGAUGAAGCUCUAGAUUAACUUCAUCGAACAGUUGAAAUGAAUGACCAAUGAUAGUGAUUGAGAACACUUUGUUUUGCUUAAAACUUACUAAGCAUUAAAUGCUUACUCCGUUCCUUGAAUCUCUGUUUUAUAGAUUUUGGUUCGUCAGCUAUCGGACUUGGGAUUAUUGAAGUCGAAGUCGCCCACACUAUCAAAGCCCUUUUGGUACACUUUUGGUUAAACUCUGAAAAUGGCAUGUAUAGGACUACCCUUUUUGUUGUUGGUCAUGUAUUCUUCGGUUUUGUGUAAAUUUGGAUAGCCAUGCGAAAAUGGCUUAAAUAUACUUUGAUCAUAGCAUUAAAAUCGUUUUGUAUGUUGUUUGUCGAGAGGUAUGGAAAUGUUGGUAACGGUUAGCCAUGGGAAUGGUCAUUCAUGAUCACUUUUGGUAUAUGUAUGACAAACUCUAGUUGAUCCAUGGAGGAUCAUGAAAUAGGUAAAGUUUACCUUAAAAAUAGAUGCUGAUAGCAGCAGUGAUGUGAAUGUGAAAAAUCACUAAAAAUAUUAGGAAUGGAAUUAAAUAGUGAAUAAAUUAUGUAAUCGAUCCUUUAUGACUCUAUUUUCAUAGGAAAGUAACGAAACGACCAUAUGAACAGUAUGUUAAGAGAUAUUUAAGUUUUUGUGAGACAGGGCCAGAACAGUUUCUGGAUUCCCUGUUCCGACUUUGGAAAUUCAUUAUAAAUUAACCAGAGAUAAUUAUAAGUCAUGCCAUAUAUGUACAGAUUCCUUUUCGAGUCUAGUUUCUAUAGAAACAAACGGCAUCAGUAUUGAAGCCCUGUACAGGGAGAUAUCCAAGUCGUAAUGCGCAAAGGUCAGUGUAGUCGAUCCCUGUAACAGGGGAGACUUUGACUAAUAAACUGUACUAAUUGGCCCGACCAAAAAUUCUAGAAAAAAAAUUGUAGAUGCAUAUAUGAGUCUAGUUUCACUGAAAAAUCACGAAACUGAUUUUCGAGUUGUGAAACUCAAGAUAUGAUUUUUAAGGUGACAGUGACGCAGUUAGCCAGCUUCCCUGGAAAAUUUUAAAAUGGAUUGUGCAAAGAAAUGAUUUAAGUCUGCAAACCCUCGUGUCCGACUCCGGCGACGGACUCGGGUAUGGGGUGUUACACUGAGAGAAUCAUAUCAGACAAUGCAUUGAACUUGAACAACAGAAUGAUAGCAGAAGUUUGUAGUCAGUUCAAAAAUGAAGCAUCAUAACUCUUCUCCGUAUCGUCCAAAAAUGAAUGGGGCAGUAGAAGCAGCCAACAAGAACAUCAAGAGGAUAGUAGGGAAGAUGACUGAGACUUAUAGAGAUUGGCAUGAGAAACUACCAUUUGCACUCUUGGCUUAUCGAACGUCCGUCAGGACUUCUACAGGGGCAACUCCUUUCUCAUUGGUUUAUGGGAUGAAAGUAGUGUUACCCAUUGAAGUAGAGAUACUGUCUCUCCGAGUCUUGUCAGAAAUAAAGUUAGACGAAGCUGAAUGGAUACAACCGCAAUAUGAUCAAUUGAACUUGAUUAAGGAAAAGAGGCUAAGGGUCAUUCGUCAUGGUCAGAUGUAUCAGAAGUGAAUGAUGCAGGCUUACGACAAGAAAGUGCGACCAAGAGAAUUCCAUGAGGGGGAUCUUGUGUUGAAAAAGAUCUUUCCCAUUCAGAAGGACUUUAGAGGAAAAUAGAUACCGAAUUGGGAAGAGCCAUAUGUCGUGAAAAAGGCUUUCUCUGGGGGUGCAUUGAUCUUAGCGGAAAUGGAUGGGAAGAGUUUGCCCAAUCCAGUGAAUUCAGACUCAGUCAAAAAGUACUUUGUUUAAAGGAGAGAAGAAUUCAGGGUGAAAACCUACAAAGGGCACCUUGAGUUUUCAAAAAAAAAAAAUGGAGAGGCCAAGGUGAAAACCCGCAAAGGGCGCCUUGUGACCAAAAGGGGUUUUGAGUUGAAAACCCGAAGGGGCAGCUCAAAUUUUAUAGAGCACACGGUGAUCUUGCUAUAUCUGAUUCAACGAAGAGUGAAGCGCAUUACAUAUCGAGGUAUCAACAAAGUACUUUGGAUCUUUUAAACACAUGUUGAAUUCAAGAAAGACUUCAUGGAGCUGGUGUAUAGACGUUCAAGCGGCGAUAUCUAGGGCAUCUAACUUUUGUCCUGUUUGCUAUCUUCAGAUUCUAUUUCUUCUCAAAGAUAGGCUUUCAAAUUAAUUUCCCUUGUAUUUUUGACAAAUUCAUUCAAAUCUAAUUAUUCUCAAGAUUAAUUCAUCUUCCAUUAUUCUUAAAGUAUGUUGCAUUGAAAUAGUGAUAGAUGAACUAAAUAAUUUUCACAAUUGAAGUUUUGCGCAUUACUCUGGAAUUUUUUUAGAUGAUAGAAGAAACUAAAACAGGACAAUUGAUUGAGAAAUUCACGUAAGAGAGGGUUGAAAGAACUUGAGGAAUUUCUUUCUUCUAGUCUGAAAUGAUGAUUGGACAAAUCAAACGAUUCGAUUCUAAGAAAAGAUCAUCUUACAGAUAUUCUCAGUUGGGCGUAGCAUUUGAAGAAUGAUACAAGCCUACAGGCUGAGCAGGAAUAAUACUUUGAGAAAAGAUAAACAAAGGAAUGAGUGGUGACGUCUGGAAUAGAAGUCAUAUUCAUAACAUUUUGCAUCACAACAUGUCUAAUUAGGAGCAUUUGACUCACUUCGAUUAUAGCAUCCUAAUCAUCAGGCAUGAGCACAUAUGCAUUCUACAUGUUAUGUAGAUCAAAGAUGAUGCGCCUUAACCCCAUAAGCAGUAGGAUAACACACCAAAGCAUAGAAGAUCUGGCCUUCACGUGUUUACACUGAAGUAGAUCCAAGAUAACAAGAUUUGGCUUCUCUAUCUUCGACGACGAGCAAAUUGAAGACAUAGCAGAUCUGACUUUCAGAUGUUUUCACAUCAAAGCAGAUCCAAGAUAACAGAUCUGGCGUCUUCAUAUUCGACGAAGAGCAGACACAUAGCAGAUAUAACCUUUAGAUGUUUAUACUGAAACAGAUCCAAGAUGAUUUGGCAUUCUUGUGUUUACAAGAAACAAAUCGAAGACAUAGCAGAUUUGACUUUCGUAUGUUCUCACACCAAAGCAGGUCCAAGAUAACAGAUUUGGGAUCUCCAUUUCGACGGAGAGCAGAUACAUAGCAGAUCUAACCUUCAGAUGACUUUACUGAAGCAAAUCCAAAAUGAUUUGGCAUCCUUGUGUUCACAAGGAGCAAAUCGGAGACACAUAGUAGAUCUAACCUUCAGAUGUUUAUACUGAAGCAGAUCCAAGAUGAUUUGGCAUCCUUGUGUUUACAAGAAGCAAAUUGAAGGCAUAGCAGGUCUAACCUUCAGAUGUUUAUACUGAAGCAGAUCCAAGAUGAUUCAACAUUCUUGUGCUUACAAGGAACAAAUCGAAGAUAUAGCAGAUUUGACUUUCGGAUGUUCUCACACCAAAGCAGAUCCAAGAUAACAGAUCUAGCAUCUCCAUUUCGACGGAGGGCUGAUACAUAGCAGAUCUAACUUUCAGAUGAUUUUACUGAAGUAGAUCUAAGAUGAUUUGGCAUCCUUGUGUUCACAAGGAGCAAAUCGAAGACACAGUAGAUUUGGCUUUCACGUGUUUACGCUGAAGUAGAUCUAAGAUGAUUUGGCAUCUCUGUAUUGUCAGAAAACAAAUCGAAGAAGCAAAUUUGGCGUCUUUGUGUUCGACGGAGAGCAGAUCGAAGAUAUCAACAUGACAGUCUUGAGUUUGCAAUGAGCAGAUUGAGGACCAUGAUCCGAUAAGGCUGGGCAAAUUUGGUCUUUUUAUGAGUCUUUGCUCGAUUCCUGUUACACAGCAAUGAGCAAAGAGGGGUAGCUGUAAUAGCCCAUAUUUGACCGGGCUUUAAAAGGGCAAAACAGAUAAAUGGAUCAAUAAAUAUUUAUUUAACAGUCCAGGUUACAAAGCCUAAACCCAAUAAACCUAUCAACUAAACUACCCUAUACCCGUUACACCUUUAACCCAAAGCAGAGAGGCCUGGGUGGCCCAAAUGGUUAGCAAAACAUGAGAGACCUAGGGUUUCAGAAACCCUAGGUGCCGCAAUCAUGUGUCUGUUCGUCUCGCAGUGACCCGAAUCAACAUUGCCACCAUCGUCAAGCCUUCAUCACCGCCGGAUUUUUCGUCGUCACCUGCAAAAAAAAAUGAAAGGACGACAGCAGAAAAUAGGAGCAAAAUAUGGAAAGAAAUCAAAGAUUUCUUUCUAAGAUUGUAAAUCAUUUACAAAGGGCUAUAAAAGCUUUUCUUUUUAAUCUGUAAAGGGGAGUUUUUUAGGGGGGCUCAAAAAUUGCAUAUACCAGAGACAAACAGUGUAAAAUAGACACGGGUAUUACACAUAUACAAGGAAUAAAAAUCAGAUCUAAGGUGAUUUUCAGAGAUUACUUUUCGUUCCCUUUUCUAUUUUUCAUUUUUUUAUUUCAAAGAUUUGAAUCGUUUUGAGGCAAAAGCACUUUUAAAAUAGAAAGAAAAGGGGAUAUGACUGUCGGAUUGGGCUUUGGGAAGCUUUAAGGAGCGUAAAACUCACUUUUGGGAACUCCGACCACCGUGAAUGGUGGCGGAGAUGGCUGAGGACGGCGAGGCCCGAUGAUCAGAGUUCGAUCGAAGCUUUGAGGGCAGGCAGGCUUUUGAGAGCAUUUUUUUGAGUUUUUUUUUAGGAAGAGGUGAAAAUGAAAGUUUAUGGAAAGAAAAUUGGUUUUUAAAGCACCCCUAUACGGCGCCGUUUCGUAGUGUGCAGAAGGUCCCCAAAACGGCGUCGUUUUGGGGCCAACCCGAUUACCUGACCCGAUCCAUUUAGAGAUCCGCGUGUUUUUUUCGACUAAAGGGAUAUUUAUCCCUUUAGUCCUUCUCCAUUUUCAGUUUUUUAAUUAAAUUUAUUUCAUUUUUUUAAAUUAGCCUUAUAAUUUUAUUUAAAUUUAAUUUUAGCCCUUUCUUUAUUAUUUUAAAAUUUUUUAUUUUUAUAUAUAUAUAAUUUAUUUAUUUUAAAAAACUAUACAUAUAUUAUUAUUAAAAAUACUAUUUAUAUAUUUAUAUAAAAAAAUUUAUUUAUCAUAUAUUAUUUUCCUAUAUUUUAUAUUAUAUUUUAUUAUAUAACAUUUAUUAUAUUUUUUAUUUUUAUUAUAUAUUACUUAUUAUAUUUUUUUAUUAUAUAUUAUGUAUAUCGUAUAUUAUCUAUUAUAUUAUUUAUGUUUUAUAUUGUUCAUUAUAUUAUUUAUAAUUUUAAAAUUUGUAAAUUAUUAUUAUUAAAUUAUAUUUUUAACUCAUAUUAUAUACAUAUUUCAUUAUUAUUUAUUUAUUUAUUUAUUUAUUAUGUGUUAUUUCAUUUUAAACUGAUAUUUUUAUAUAUUAUAUAAUUAUUUUAUUAUAAAUAUAAAUUCUUUUACAUACUUUUUAUUUUAUAUAUAAUUUUUUAAACCAAUAUAUUUUUUAUUUUAUAUAUAAUUAUUAUUCUUUUAUAAUUUUUUGUUAUUAUAUAUUAUAUAUUGUAUAUUAGAUACUAUUUUAAAAUUAUUAUUAAAUAUCAUAUUUUUAUUUGUAUUAUAUUUAUAUUUUGUUAACAAUUACUCACUUUAUUUUAUAUUUUUAUAUAUACUAAUUCUUUUAUAUAUUUUUAUAUUGUAUAUAUCAUUUAUGUAUUAAAUGUUAUUUUAUAAUUAUUAUUUGAUGUUGUAUUUUAUGAACAUGUACAUUGAUAUUAUAUUACUAUUUUUUUUGUUUAUAUAUUAAAUUGUAUAUCAUGCAUCAUUUUUUAAUUAUUACUUUGUAUGUUUGUAUGUUUUGCUUAUUCAUCUUCAAUAUAUGCUAUGUAUAUCUUUGUACGUAUGUUGUUAAGAUUUGCUAUAUUUAUUAUUUUUUAAAUAUGUAUGUAUCUACGUAUGAUCUUUAUAUUAUUACUAUCAUAUUGUUUAAAUGCAUGUUUUAUUUACCUGUUACAAUAAUAUGUUAUCAUGCAUGAUUUAUAAUGUAAUAUGAUUCCUCAUGCAUCAAUUUAAAAACGAGAUUCCAAGUUUUCAAAAAAAUAAAAAGGCAAUGUUUGGUAUUUGGAAGCUUCGAGAAAAGUAGUGCCCUAACUUACUGGGUUGCAACUUUUCUCAUUGAUUUCGAUAGUCUAGCACCCUUCUAAGUAUUUUUGAAAUUUUCAAAAUACAAACAACUAUUUUGGAAUUUCAAAACAUGGUGUCCUAACUUACUGGAUAUGAUGUUUUGUAGUUUCGAAAUAGAAAUUUUCAAAAGACAAGCUUAGCUUCAAAAGUUUUAAAAUAUUGCUUCCUAACUUACUGGAUGUGAUAUUUUGACUCGUUUGAAAUAAGCGAACCUAAAUUUUUCAAAUCAAAACAUUCUAAAUAAAAGAGGCUUGUAUCUUAAAACUUUCAAAAUUCCGACAUUAAAGACACUUGAUAAUCAAUUAGGUACUAAUUUUUAGGCGUUACGAGGGUGCUAAUCCUUCCUCGUUCGUAGCCGACUCCCGAAACCAUUUUCUUGAUUUCGUAGAGCAAAACUAAUGAUUUUAAACAAAAUGAUUUAUUGGUGAUCCAAUCACACCUAAAAGAUUGAUGGCGACUCCCGUUUUCGUUUUUCUUAAAGUCGAUUCCCAUUUUCCAAAACUCGAUUUAAAAAUGGUUUCGACAGAAAUGUUUUAGUUAGUAACAUAUUUAAAGUACCAAAAAAAAGGGAAAAAAUUCGGUGACUAGUGGUGGUCGAUUGCGUUCGAUGGUGGAACUUGUGGUGGUGGGACGGUUCGGGUUCAAAUGGAGGUUUUAUAGUGGGGGAACAUUAGGGGUGAGGGAAAAUUUUUUUUAAAAAAAACAAAGGAAAAACAGAAACCUGAGAGCACUGUGACCCGUGCCUAUUAGGUCACGUCGGUGCUAGCAUGAAGCCAGCCACCAAAGGAUCGGGGCCCCCUUGGCAGGGCUAACACUGACCAUUAGAAGCAUGACCUGACAUAGCAGCAUGCGUGUGCUUGACACCGCCCAUCGCAUGGCCAGCUUGGGCCUGACACAACAGGCCUGAUACAAUUGGCCUGACACCAGCCAUCCCUUCCCCUUUUUUUUUUAGUUUUUUUAUUUCAAUUAAUUAUCUAUACUUUAAUCUAUACAGUAAUUAGUUUUAAUCUUUCGAUUGAUUUUUAAUUAAAAUUAAUUAAUUUAAUUAAUUUUUGAUUUGAACUUUAAUUAUUAAGUUAAACUUUAUGUAUUUAAUUUUAUUUUUUAAUGGAAAUUAUCCAUACUUUAAUAGGUUUUAAUCUUUUCAAUUGAAAUGUAUUAAAUUAUUUUUUAUUGAAUCUUUAAAUUGAUUUUUUAAUUAAAAUUAAGAAAUUCAAUUAAUUUUUUAUUUAAACUUUAAUUAUUAAGUUAAACUUUAUGCAUUUAAUUUUUAUUUUUUAAUUUAAACUAUCUAUACUUUAAUUGGUUUUAAUAUUUUCAAUUGAAAUGUACUAAGUUAUUUUUUAUUUAUUCUUUAAAUUUAUUUUUAAUUAAAAUUAAGAAAUUUAAUUCAUUUUUAAUUUAAACUUUAAUUAUUAAGUUAAACUUUAUUUAUUUAUUUAUUUAUUUUUUACUUGAAAUUAUCUCUACUUUAAUAGGUUCUAAUCUUUUCAAUUGAAAUUUAUUAAUUUUUUUUAAUCUUUAAAUUGAUUUUUUACUUAAAAUUAAGAUUUUUAAUUAAUUUUCAAUUUAAUUAUUAAGUUAAAUUUUACGUAUUUAAUUUUUAUUUUUUACUUGAAAUUAUCUAUACUUUAAUUUCUACAUUAUUUUGUUAUAAUCUAUUCAAUUAAAAUGUAUUAAAUUAUUUUUUAUUUAAUCUCAAAAUUGAUUUUUUAAUUAAAAUUAAGAAAUCAUGGGGCACUAUCUUUAAUUUAUACAUUAAUUGAAUCAUGGGAAAUUAAGAAAUCACUCGUCAUCUUCCAAUUUGGUAUUACGAGAAGAUUGGUCGGGAAUAUAGACACGAUGUGGGCAAGUGGAUCAGUUGCGGCCUGAUGUUCGGCAUACCAUACACUGUUUAGGUUUGCUUGUCUCCCUGAGAUCCAUGUCAUUUUGAAUCCUCAUUGAUUGUGGUUGACCUUUAGGAUAUCUAUAGAGACUGUGGUUCGGCAACAUCUCAAAAGCAAGUGGCAGAGCUUCCCAGUUAGAGACAUCUGGCAUUACUGGAAAUUUAUUGCCUUAGAUAUGCAAUGUGCGUUGUAGUGUGUAAACCUCGUCUAUGAAUUGUUUGACGUCUAGAUUUGCACGCGCACACGCUGCAUGAACAUGCGCAUACGAAUGUCGAAGAGUCUAGAAUAAUCAGCACUCACAACGCCUAUUUCACAUAUCAACUGAAUACGACUUAGGCAGAAGACUCGAGCGACGGCUGACGUGCUCUUGAACCCGGAAAGUCUCCAAGUCAUGUGAAUACAGUUCUGCGUUCAUCCUCCACGCCUUAUUCGCGUUGACUUUCAUUGCCUUUCGGACGCCCUCAAUGUACACGUGCCGGGCCUCUAUCUGCUUUACUUAUCUCAGCUCCAUCCUUGGCAUUAACGUGGCCAAUUUAUACAAUGUUACCAAGAAAACAACAAAAAUUGACAAAUGACGUAUAUGCCUCAAGACCGAGUUAACAGCCUCUACAAGGUUGGUCAUCAUCUAACCAUACCGGAACCCAUCAUCGUAACUUUGACUCCAUUGUCAGUUCUCUAUACUGCCCAACCAUUGGCGAAGAGGACGAUUUUUGGGUAAUGCUGACAUCUAAGCUUCAAGCCUUACGAACCUUUGCCCAAAUCUUUGCGGUUCUAACUCGUACCCUAUGUAUGCAAUUUCGAACAAAUAUUUUAAAAAAAUUACACCGUUAUAAAUUUAGAAAAAAUAAAUUUAAAAAUACAAAUUGAUAAAUCUUGAAAAAAAUACCAACAUAUUCAAAAAAUAAAAUAUGAUCAGAUCAAUUUUGGAACAAUAUUUUUUACACAUUCUUACAAUUUCUCUGCACUAUUCUUUAUUUUUUUACUCCUUAUGGAAGUUUGACACGAUGUGUCGAAUGCGAUAAGCGGACCUCCACGGAACCCCUGAAUGCCUUACUGUAGCAAGUAGUCCAUUCGAUCUAUCCGAGAUUAGGUAAAUGUUGUCCUGCUUGACAUCGUGCCUCUGCAUGUUUGACAAGAAAAAUUCCUAAGACUCGAAGUUCUUACUUUCCACAAUGGCAAAAGCGAUAUGAAGUACAUUCCGGUUGCCGUCUUGUGUAACUGCAAUCAGGAGUAUUUGCAUGUAUCUGUCGUAAAGCCAAGUUCCGUCCACCUGCACCAUCAGCUUGUAGUGAGGGAAGGCCCUAACACAUGGCUCGAACGUACAAAAAAAUCGAUGGAAAACUAGUUUUCCCGGUACUAUCUUGUCGUUCGGGCCUCUAUGCAGCAGUGUUUGCAAAUCAAUCACUGUUCCCGGCACAAGCUCCGCAUUGCGACUACCCACUCUUGAAGUUCAUUUUGUGAUGCAUCAAAGUCACCAUACAACUAUUGCAUAACCAAUUGUUUUACCCACCAUGCCUUCUUGUAGGAAACCUUGUACUUGAAUCGAGCUUGCAUGCCCGCAAUAAGCGUAGAUUUAGGGAUGGUGGCCGAUUCAUUCACCAACAGGAUGAUGUAGUUGCAUAUGGUUUUUGCAUCUAACUUUCGAUGGUCUUGCGACAUACGAGCAACCGAGCAUGUGUGAGGACCUUUUAUUUUUCCGAUUGUCUACAUCUGUGUCCAUUGUAUUAAUGUAGCUUGAACUCGUCACUUACAGCCACUUGGGGAUUUCCAGCAUUCUCCAACAUAUAAAGAUUACGUUGACUUCUUGACUUUGUAGUUGACAGACAGUUUCAAGUUGUACUGCUUUAUUACAUGUAAGCAGUCGUUCUUGUUACCGAAUUGUUGUCCUAUGAAUAAUUCUUCAUCUUCCGAUUCUUCAUCCAAUAGGUGAGCCGGCAUUAUAUCUGGAUAUUCUUAGAACUUGUGCGCAAGCGCAUCAGGAUCUAUAUCAGUUAUUAAGGCCCCUGGAUUAUUAAGGAUAACUAUAUCGGAUCUCGUGUUCAUGCUUGAAUGGAAAUGUAUAUCUUCACCCUCCAUGGGGUAUUUAUCGUCUAUAUCUUCAGGGAUGUCCUCCAAAUCUGGGUCACUCAAAUCUUCACUAUCAGACCCUUCAUUAUCAGACUUUUCAUCACCAUCUUCUAUGGUGGUCGAUACCUCCGAAAGAAUCUCUAGACGAUGACACAAGAUUUGGAUGUUAUACAAACAUCCAUUGUAGUUUGGAUUUUUGGGAGUUUGCAAUGACCCUCUACAAUCUGACUGAUCUUCCUAAUAGACAUUAAGAUCAAAAUUAAUUCCAGAAUGUUGACUUACUGGAAUUACAACUUGAACAGGUUUCGGUUCAACUAUCUCUACAAACAACUCAACCAGGCUGGGAUUAUCCAUAUCAGGGGGCAAUAAAUUGUUAUCAUUGUCCUAAGAUCAUCAUCAUCUUCUUCAAACUCCAUUUCUGAGAGCUUAAGCGGAUCUAUUGAAAUUAAAAAUUUGUAAAAUAGUCCCAACAUUUGCUUCCCGCAACGGGUAGCUAUCUUUAUAUUGAUCUUCUGUUUUAAAUUCGCCAGCAAAACACGCUUGUUGAAUCUCAUUCAGAUUUUCUACCAACUUUGAAAGACACAACCUUCUAUAACUGUAUUUAUCAUUUCACCAUCAAAAUGAACAUAAACAAACAUAAUUUGGGAACUCAUCUUCAACAAUUUCUACUUCAUCCUCAACAAACAAAACUGAUAUUAUUAGUAUUGAUUUUCAACUGAUAAAGCAAACAAAAAGCUCAAAUAGAGGACAAAACAACUCUAUAUGUUAAAGGCGUGCCAGCCAUCAGUGUCCCAGCACCCCAAUUGUUUUUUUCAAAUUUAGUAAAAGGGUGUCGGCCAUCAGUGUCUCAGCACCCAAAAUUUUUUUUCAGUUCCUGAAAUAGCUGAUGUCAGCCAUCUAGUUCCCUCACCCAAUUUUUUUAUCUAAUAAAGUGGGUGUCGACAAUUAUUUUGCCAGCACAAAAAAAUAUUUUUCAAUAUGAAAAAGGUGAUUCCGAUCGUCUAAUACCCCUAACCCAAAAAUUUUUUAUCUAACAAAGUGGGUGCCGGUCAUCAAUAUGUCAGUACUCAAAAAAAUUAUUUUUUUACUAUUAUAAAGUGAUGUCGGCCACUUAUCCCCCAACUAUUUUUUUUUCAAAUACUAGUAUAAAUAUAUACCAGUGUGCUACUGUAUGAAAAAGAAUACUCAGGUGUUGACCAUUAAGUCUUCCAACCCCAAAAAAUAAUUUUUUUUUUAGCUUGGCACAAUCAUCAGCCAAUGAUUGAGUUAAAAAUCAUGGUGGUGCCGGCCAUUAAGUCCCCCAACCUUAUUUUACUGUUCAUUUUCAGAUCACUUGAGUAAUUAUUUUUAAACUUGAGUUAUUUUUAUAAUAAUUUUUUUUAGAUCAUUUUAGUAAAAUAACCCAAUUUUAGGCUCACUGUGAAAUCUUAUUCUAUUUUGAUAAAAAAAAGUAUUAUUUUUAAUAUUUAUUUAUAUAUAUAAAGUUGUAUUAUUGGGAUAAAAAAACAUUUUUUUUUCUUUUUGCACCGAAGAUGCAUUACUAUCCAAAGGUAGCCCCAGUGGCAGUUGGUAGCUUGUGGUCAACGCAUUGUCAAAACGUGUGGUUUAUAACAUACCGUUUUGAGAUCGAAAUUUCGAGAUUGCAAACCAGUUAAAAGAAAAAAAAAGGUACCAGCAGGCGGAGAGAAAGAACGGGUAACGAUGUAACGCUUUAAACGAUGUCGUAUCUGCUACCACACUUGCAUUCAGGGUAGGCUGUAGAUCAAGCGAUCUUGGCAGAGGAAGAGCGUCUCGUCGUCAUCUGAUUCGGUCACGAUUGGGAUGAAACAUGUAUGCAGGUACCUCCACUUGUUCUUCUUCUAUCUCCCUUCACUCUCUUUUUUUUCUUCCUUUUGUAACUUUUCUCUUUUUAUUGGAACUUUCCUUUACCGUCUGGGGAGAUUUUCCCACUCCAAUGGCGUUAGUUAUUUCAGUUUUAUCAGCAGGUUUGGGAAUAAUAUCAAAUGAACCCUAUAUUCGCCGUCCUUUGUAAAUUUGAAAAUUAUCGUCAAUUUUGGCAUCGAUGGUGAAUUCGAUGAUAAUUGCCUCCUUCGAAAGACUUUUGUUAAAAAAAAUGUUGAAAUUGGCAUAGAUGGUUGUAACGGGCCUAUUUUUCCCGGGGCUAAACCAAUAACCCAAAAACAAAAAUAAAACCAAAUAAGUUAAGAGUCUGAGUCCAAUUACAAAAAGAGCCCGAAUGUAAAACAUACUAGACCCAAAUUUACAAUCCAAAUAUAAAACCCAAAAUUUUAUAGGCCCAAAGCUAAAACAACCUAGCCCAAGAAUAGCCCAAAACCUAAAAUCAUUCAGCCAAAAAAAACCUAGGCGCCGUUCCCCCCUUUGCGUGCCUCAAGUGCAUCGUACCCCUCCAUGUGCGCCCUCGGCGCACACAUCGCCAGAUGGCUGCUCCUUUGCACCAAAAUGGCAUGUUUUCACGCUCGUUGACCCUCUUAGCCCUGCAAAACAAUCCAAAAACGAGCAAGAACACAGCAAAAGGAAACACGCAAAGACAAACAGUAGAGAACAGAGGCUUAAACAAAAAUAAAAAAAGUAGAUUGUAUUUUGGCUAUAAAGCCAAGAACGAACAUAUUGUAUUCUUUUUACAGACCAUUAAGCAAUCAAAACACAAAAUGUUGAAUCUCAUCUUUUCUUCCCUAUUUUUCUGUUUUCAUUUUUAUUUUUGUUCUUUUGUUUUCAAAUUGGUUUAAACAAAACCAAAAAGAAUAGAGAAAAAUAGACUUACCCCAACUCCGAAGUCGCAUCAUCAGAGCUCCUGCUCUAUCGGUGAAACCGACUAAAAAGGGUGUCUUUUCUCUCGGAUUCACGGGCUAAGGGAAUAGGGCCUUCGGGUGCUCCAAAAUCGGAGUCAAAAGACCCCUUUUGUGCAACCCCGAUCACCACCUACAGUGGCUUCAUGGCAGCGGCGAUGAUGGGUGCAUAAACCCUAGCAGAGCACAAACAGGGGGCUGCUCUUUGUUUCUGAGAAGAGAAAGAAAAAAUGAAAAGUUUUUUUAAAAAAAUUUGGCUUUAACAGGCAUGCAAAGCGGUGACAUUUGCAAUCCCCCCACACGCCUCAAAACGGCGUCGUUUAGGGGGGAACCCGUGCGACCCGACCCGUUUAGCAGAUGAUCCGCGUGUUUUAAAGCCAAAUGGGCUAUUUGCGCUGUGGGUCCUCCUGCUUUGUCAUUUGUUUACGAUUCGAUCCUUUUGCUCUUUCUUUUGGGUUUUUAAUUUGACCCCAUAACUUUGUUGAGUUUUUCAAUCGGAUCCUCCGACCCAUUGGCACACUGCGAGCGAACACGUGUCCAGAGGCUAGAUAUUUUACCCAUUUACUCCUCAAACCUUGCGCAUAUUUUCAUUUUUACCCCGUUCUUUUAUUUUGUUAUAGUUUUCACUUCUAAUUUCAUUUUUUAUUCCAAUAUAACCCCUAAUCACUUUGAUUUUGAUCCUUUUUUAUUUUUCUUUAUUUAUUCAUGUUUUAUACAUUAUUUAUUUUAAAGGAUAUCGUAUUUCAUUUGUUAAAUAUUUUUAAAACUAUUCUAUUAUUUAUUCUAAAUCAUUUUGUUGUUACUUUUUUUUACCUAUUAUGUAUUGCAAACUAUUGACCAUUUUAUACUUUAUAUAUAUUAUUUAUUUUAAAAUAUUAUACACAUUAUUCAUUUUGAUUUAUAUAUAUAUCUUCUAUUUUAAACCAUUUUAUAUAGAUAUUAUCUAUUUUUAAAUUUUCUACAUUUUAUUUGAUUAUACUGUUGUAUAUGUUAAUAGUUUUAAAUCCCUUUUAUUAUCAUUUAUUUUAAAUUUUUUAUAUAUAUUAUUUGUUUAAAAAUAUUUUUUUACAUACUCUUUAUUCUAAACUAUUUUAUACAUUAUCUAUUCAAAAUUUUCAUAUAGUAUUUAAAUUAAACUGUUUUAUACUUUAUUCAUUUUAAAAUUUUUAUAUUAUUUAUUUUAAGCUCUUUAUUAUUUAUUUUAAGUUUAUACAUUAUUCAUUUGAAACUAUUUUGUUAUAUUAUUUAUUUAUAGUUGUUUCAUUUAUUACUUUUUUUAAAACCAUUUUAUUUAUUUUAAAAUUUUUCAUAAAUGAUGUUGUUUCAUUUUUAUUAUUAUGAAUAUUGAUAUUAAAAAUAUUAUACAUCGUGUGAACAUUGCCAUUACAUGUCCUAGAAAUUAUUUGUUAACAUCUUCAUAUUAUUGUCAUUCACCAACAUUGUAUCUAAUUCGUGUUAUUAUUCCAUACUCUAUGUUAUAUUUUUGUUUUAUUUCAUUUAAAUCGUAUCAUGUUUGAAGUUCGAACGUAUUCAUCCAAUAUAGAUCGUUCCGUUUUAGUUCAAACAAAUAAUGCACAUCGUUAAAUGUCAUGCUCGUUAUUAUUCAAAAGAAAAAUUUUGAAAUAAGGCAAUGUUUCGCGUUUUGGAACAUCGAGGAAUUGUGCCCUAACUUACGGGGUUUCAGUUCUCUCGUCGAUUCUAAAUAGCCAAAUAUCCUUUUGAGUUUUAAAAUACAUGGAAUUCUAAUUAAAAUUAAAGAUAAACUUACGCUCGAGAAUCAUUGGUAUCGUGUCCUAAUUUACGGGAUGAGAUACUUCGAUAUCUCGAGACGAUGAAAUCUUUAGCAAUCGUUUUGGUCUAAUUCAAGCACGUUUAAACUCAACAUUAAUAAAAAAGGGAUCAUAUUUUAAAAUCCAUUCCCGAUUUUCAAUUUUCGACAUUAAAACACUAACUAAUCAAUUCAGUACCAAUUUUUGGGUGUGUCGAGGGUGCUAAUCCUUCCUCGCACGUAACCGACUCCCGAACUUGUUCUCUUGAAUUUCGUAGACCAAAAAUGCCGUUUUAGUAAACUAAAAUGUUUUAUUAAAACAAAGGUGAUCCGAUCACACCUAAUAAAGAUCGGUGGCGACUCCUAUUUUUUAUUUUCAUUUUCAAACAUAGUCAAUUCCUACUUCUCAAAAAAAUGGUUUCAACAGCUUGGCGACUUCGCUGGGGACUUGAGAGUCAAGUCAUAAAUUGAUUGAUCUUUUUCCUUUGCCGAAAUUUGAAAAUUCGUUUUAAACUUAUGAUCCCUUCACUGCAUUUCAACCGUUUUUCUUACGGUUUUCAUCAUUUUAUUCUAUUUUCUUUAUUGCGUCAAGUUUUUAUGCAUAUAUCCUCGCACAUUGCAUUGCAUGACCGUUGUGGUCACACCCUUUAAGUGGAAGUGAGAAACUACUCCUUCGUGAGGUCUUCACCUCCGUAUAGGAUAGUGGAUCGCUUUCGGGAUACAUCUGUACCUGCGUCUUCGUAAGAUUUUCAUCUCCGUAUAGCCGUAGGGUCCGUAUAGCCAUAAGGAAAUGUAUUCCCCUGAAUCGAACUUGGUCCAUAUGAGCCUAUAAUAGGUGAGGAUCGAGGAAUCUGCUGGUUCAGGUACCUUUACUUUAGAACCGAACCACUUGUAAUGAGCCCUAAGAGCCUACCCUAGGUGGAAACACACCAAACCUUAGUGGUUACCCGAUUAGGUGCUUGAUUAUUUCCUGUUUGCUUUGAGUUCUAUUCUUUGUUUUAAUACUGACUUGUUGUGUUUUGCUAUUAUUGCGUGGCAUCUCAUCAUAAAAAGGUGUUGAUUCACGUUCGGUUACUAGAUAGAAAAGCUUAGCAUGAAAAAAGGAUUUUUUGAUAGAGUGGAGGAUAAUGCGGCCGUUCGAGUGUGGUCCGAGAGAACGCAACAAGAGAAGGGAGAUAGUUUGACCGAGGGAUAUGAAUCGGAGUUGUGGGAUUUCACUCACAUCAGUGUGACUCAGAACGACCUGCAAGAAUUAAGGGAUAUAUGGAAUAGUUGGAAUAACGAGGUCAAGCAACUCUUUUACUGUAACUACGGUGACCUACCAUAUUUGCUCGAUGUAAAGGUGGACAAGUACUUAUUUCGAGCCCUCGCGCAGUUUUGGAAUCCCGCCUACAGUUGCUUCACCAUCGGAGGAGUUGAUUUAGUGCCUAUUGUAGAAGAAUACAUGGCGUUACAUAAUUGCCCGAAGAUUCAAGCCGAUAGGGCCUAUUCAAGACCUGUUAAUGUUUCAACUUUUUUGAAGAAAUUGAUGAAGAUCACGGGGAUGAGCGAACAAUGGGUUGCAGCUCGGAUCAAGCAGAAAGGGGAUAGUAAGUGUAUUCCUUGGAGAAAUUUGAGGGAUUUAAUCUUAGCACAUCUGUAUAUGAAAAAGAGGGUUGACGUUUUCGCCUUAAGCCUCUACGGUUUGAUCAUCAUUCUUAAGGCAUUAGGGAAUGUAGAUGAAGACGUCUCAGAUUUAUUCGAUCGCCUUGAUAAAGGAACCCCACCUGUCCCGGUAAUCCUAGCAGAAACUUUUAGAUCCUUGAAUGCAUGUCGGAGAACGGGCGAAAGAAGAUUUAUUGGUUGUGCAUAGCUUCAUUGGCUUGGUUCCAUAGCCAUUUUUGGAAGGUAGAAAAGGUUUCUUAUCGGGUUUUCUCUAAGGACUAUUCCCCAUUAAGAGAGUUAGUGGCUACAUCGAGGUGAGACGACAUCUCAGAAGGGAAAUGGAUAACCAUUCUCUAGAAUUUACGAGUCGAAGAUAUUGAAUGGAGGGCUCCAUGGUUGAUCCCCGACGAGAUCUUAUAUCAGUGCGGUGAUUUUGACUGGGUCCCUCUGGCAGGAAUAUGAGGAGCCGUUGGAUACGCUCCAUUACUAGUGUUACGGCAAUAUUGAUCAAGGCAGUUUAUACCGGUGACACAAGGGUUGGCACAAUGUGAGUUUUCCUAUAAAGAUAACAAUUAUAAGAAGAAGGUUUGUGAGAUAUCGGAUGCUUGAAACCAAACACGAAGAAUGAAAGGAUUCACUACGGGCCCGAUGGCGACCCCCGAGUAUGAUUGGUGGUGGGAUAUGAGAGUCAACGACAAUAUCCCUAUGCCGAAUCAAGGGAACACCCAACCGAUAGAGAAGCAUUUAUGAGUCAUCCCGUCUGAGUUAGAAAUCAUCAAGCAAGACUUCAAGAAAAGGAUCUCGGAAUUGGGAAAGAAGAUAGAGUAAUUAGAGGAAGAGAAGAUGAAGUUGGGCUUAGACGUUAAUAUCCACAAGCUAGAGGCCGAGAAGCUAAGGAAAGGGAAGAAUAAAGCUGAAGAUGACUUGGAUAGUCUGAAGACUGAUUAUAAGAAGCUGCGUACGUCAAUAAGAACUGCCGGUUUGGGUAAGACGUCGGAUCAGUGGCGUCAAGAAAUUGAAAAAGAAAAGGCUAGAGCUGGCCACUGGGAGAAGAAGUUCCAAGAUGUUUGAGUGCGGGAAGAUGUUUUGAAAAAGAGUUUGUCAGAAAGGUAAAGCGAAAAAGAGAAAUUACAAGCUCGGAUAGCUGAAUUGGAAAAGUCGCUACAUCUGCAUCGUAGCCAUAACUCCGUAAUUGAGUUGAAGACCAGCUUAAACAAAAUCGAAGAGUUGAAAGGAAAAAUAGAGGAACUCGAGAUGACACUAAAAGAUAGCAAAAGUCGAGUGGAAUUCCUUGAGGCAAACAAUGAACAUUGCAAAGAACAACUUCACUACUCUCAAGAUCAAAUCAGAAAUAGAGAUUAUGUUAUGGGCGAAGUUGUGGCUCAAGUUCGAGAAGUAGCCGAUCAUUUGCAAACCUUGAUAGUUCAGGCUGAUGUAUUAAGCCUAAAAUACGAGUCAGAACCAGAUCGAGGCCGAAACUUAGCUUGGCUUCUUAGAAAGGCUAAGGCUUUGGGCAUUAGGGCAAAGUCAUAUAUGUAAUCAUCUGUUCUAUGUAAAGAAAUUUUUCUUCUAGUAAAGUUCUUCUAAUGAAAUUGAAUUAGAAUCAACGUCCCUUUUUGCAUUCAUGCAUUUGCAUUACAUUACAUUAUAUGCAUUAAAGGCCAUGAAAAGAUUCUAAUUAAUUAAAAAUGUUUCAGUAAUCUAGAAACUGACGAAAAUCUCCCGAAUACACAUCCCUACGGUACAAGAAGGAAAACUGAAGCAAUGGAUAAAAAACUAGAGAGACUGGAGUAAAUGCAGAAAGAAAUACAGGAGUAGAUGCAAGUGCAAGUACAAGAACAGUUAGCAAAAAUCAGCAGGAAAUGAGGGACCAGAUGCCGGAAUCCCAAAAAAAUAUGAUGGAAGAGCCCCGACUAUUGACUAGUAGGCCAGACAAAGAAAAGGGCCCUAUGACCGAUAUGGGAAAUAACAAUGGAGAUUCACUUUACCCCCUGGUUUUACCCCGAAAAACGCUCAAACGUAGCAUAAGGCACACACGCAGAGGCCAUCCAUUACUGAAGAUCCGCUCUACCCCCUGGUUUCACCCCGAUGAAUGCUCAAACGCAACCCGAGCUACACAUGCGAAGACCGUCCGUUACGAUCAGGCCUCAACAAUUUUAGGCCGAUAUCUCGAUGCCAAUCAAUUAUCAAACAGGCUCAGGCUCUAAUCCCAGGGAUAACUCUAUUAAUCCCACAAUCCCUGAUCUGGAUAAUAUGGCAGAAGAAUAAAGAGUGAGAACGGGGCUCUCGAAAGAAUUGAAAGACCGAUGCAAGUGGUUGGAGGAAAAGUUCAGAAUGAUGGAAAGUACUGACUAUCAUUAUGGGAUCAACGCUAAAGACUUGAGCUUGGUCCCAGACCUAGUCUUCCCUCCUAAGUUCAAAAUCCCAGACUUUGAAAAAUACAAUGAAACUAGCUGUCCAGAGGCUCACAUCACCAUGUUUUUUCGAAGAAUGGUAGGGUAUGUUCAUAAUGAUCAAUUAUUAAUCCAUUGCUUUCAAGACAGUUUGGUCGGGUCUACGGCCAAAUGGUACAACCAACUAAGUCACGGGCAAAUCCAUUCAUAGAAAGACUUGGCACAAGCUUUCAUGAAGCAAUACGGCCACGUGACAGACAUAGCACCUGAUCGAAUCACGUUACAAAACAUGGAAAAGAAACAAAAUGAGAGCUUCAGGCAGUACACCUAAAGAUGGACAGAGGUGGCGACGCAAGUCCAACCACCUCUACUGGAGAAAGAAACGGCUAUGCUCUUUGUCAACACUCUGAAAACUUCAAUUAGCAACCACAUGUUGGGAAGCGCUACUAAGAGCUUCUCAAACAUAGUAAUGUCAGGAGAGAUGAUAGAGAAUGCGAUAAGAUGCGGAAAGAUCGAAACAGGGGAAAAUGCCAAGAAAUUAGCUCCGAGAAGGAAAGAAAAUGAAGUGAACAACGCGAGCAUAUACAAUAAGAGUUAUUCCAAGCUAGUCACUGUGAGCCAACCAAAGACAGUGACUACCAACCAUCAAGGCUCUGCAAGACAAUAUUCAAACUCGAGGUCUAACACGGAGAGAGUCCAGUUUACGCCUAUCCCAAUGUCAUACAGGGAGUUGUAUCAGAGUUUAUUCGAUGCCCAUGUGGUGUCGCCUUACUACUUGAAACCCCUGCAGCCUCCAUUCCCUAAAUGGUAUGACGCAAAUGCUCAAUGAGAAUACCAUACAGGAAUCUCGGGACAUACGAUUGAGAACUGCAUUGCCUUCAAAAAAGUAGUCGAAAGGCUCAUAGGCAUGGGCGUUGUGAAGUUUGAUGAGCCCGCAGGACCUAAUGUGGCGGGGAACCCACUACUUAGUCAUUCAGACAAAAGGGUGAACGCGAUAAUUGAAAAUGGAAAGAGAAGAACCAAGAUGGAUGUAUCAGAGGUAAAAACCCCAAUGAAAUGGGUUUGGAAGAAGAUGGUGGAAGGAGGUUUAAUCACACAAGAUUCAAAGGAAUGGCCUAGAGAAGCAAAAAGAUACUGCGAGUUUCAUGCUGAUGAAGGCCAUGACAUCCAAGAGUGCAAUAAAUUCAGGUCCAUAAUGCAAAGUUUGAUUGACAAUAAGGAGAUAGAAUUUUACGAAGAAAUCGAGGGAUCAGAAGAAAGAGAGGUUUAUGCCUCAGAGGAAGGAAUAACAGAAAGGGUCUAAAGAGUUAAUCAUCCUGUGGUGAUAAUUUCGCUACCAAAGAACAAUGAAGCAGGAGUACAAAUGGUGCUGAGAGUCAUAAUCCAGAAACCGGUAUCCUUCCCUUACAAGGAUAGUAAAAAGGUUCACUGGGAUUACGACUGUAACGUGACGAUCCUGGGUGGGGGAAAAUCAGCUAGUACUUCAAAAGAAAACCAAGAUAUAGGUUUCUAUACACGCAGUGGGAGACAUUGUGAUCUUGCCAAUACAAGAACUGAAAUUGUUAAGGAAAAGACCCCAAUAGACGAGCGAAGAAAGGAAAAGACAAUCAGACUUGAAUCACCAGUCCAUGAGCCGGUGACUGAAAAGAAGGCCAAGGAGUUUUUAAAGUUCUUAAAGCACAGCGAAUUUAGCGUUGUAGAAUAGCUACAUAAGCAGCCAGCUCGCAUUUCAGUGCUAGCCUUACUUCUAAGCUCAGAGACACAUCGGAGCGCGUUAAUGAAGGUAUUAAAUGAAACCUACGUCACGGAUGAUAUCUCUGUCAACAAGCUGGACCAUCUCGUCAACAAUAUUAGCACCGAUAAUUUCAUAUUAUUCAAUGACGAUGAAAUACCACCGGGGGAAAUGGGGUCAACAAAGGCGCUACACAUCACCACCCGCUGUAAAGGACAUACACUACCGGGAGUAUUGAUUGACAAUGGGUCUGCACUAAAUGUCCUACCCCUAUCCACGUUGAAUAGGUUGCCAGUGGACAGUUCCCACAUGAAGACAUGCCAAAAUGUAGUAAGGGCAUUUGAUGGCACUGAAAGGAAAGUAAUGGGGAGGAUUGAAAUACCCCUUUUAAUCGGUCCAAGCACAUACAAGAUAGAUUUCUUAGUAAUGGACAUUAAGCCAUCUUACAACUGCUUAUUAGGGAGGCCAUGGAUUCACUCAGUAGGGGCAGUACCGUCAUCACUGCAUCAAAAGCUCAAAUUGGUAACGGAAGGCCGAUUGGUGACCAUAAACGCAGAAGAAUAUAUUAUUGCAUCCGUUACCAGUGACGCACCAUAUGUGGGGACAGAUGAUGAAGCAAUAGAAUGCUCUUUCUGAUCAUUAGAAUUUGUAAACGCAACCUUUAUUGUCGAAGGGAACAAGGUCCUAGUGCCCAAAAUAUCCAAAACUACCAGGAUGAGCUUACAAAUGACAGUUGGGAAAGGAGCUUUGCCCGGAAAAGGACUUGAGAGAAGCCUACAAGAAAGGAUCGAGGCACCCAUGCUCAUGGAUAAAUGAGACCGUUUUGGCUUAGGGUACAAGCCAAAUGCAAGGCAGAAGAAGAAGGAGAUAGAGAAGAAACAAGAAAGGAGAAGAGCGCGUUUAAAUGGAGAAGAGGUCAAAUGGGAGUCAAUGACCUUUUCUCACAUAUCUAGAACACUCGUGUCAGGAGGGACUACUUACUCUGAAGAAAAAUUGACCAGGAAAGGGUCUGCCAAAGAAAUGUUGGAAAAUUUGAGCAUUAACGCCAUAUCCGAGGAAGAAACAAGAGACGAAGGUCAUGUAGGCAUUUGCCCAUGCGUGCCCGGGAGCAUUUUAAAACUAAUUCAGAGUAAUGUCUAAAACAAGCUAAUUGCUCUAAACUUAGGGGUAAUAAGAAUCCUUUUGUGAAAUAGGCUCUUAUCCAGUCUCGUUAUUUAAAUAAAAAUGCAUCUUUGCGUAUCAUCUUGAGCAAAUAUUCUUUUAUUCUUUUCAUUUCAUUCAUAAUCAUACCACCAAUAAAUAUUCUUAGAUUCUUUUGUUCUUUGGACUUUUCUUCAUCUCUAUAACAGGUCUCUAGAUAUCAAAGACAUGAGUAAUGCUGCUACUGACUCAGAGCCUCAUUUUGAGCAAGAUGUGUGUACGAAGGAUUCUUAGGAUUUUGAGGAUGACCGAAACUGUAACCUAUCUCUGGAUUUGUUAAGGAUGGUAGAACAAAAUGAGAAACAAAUCCUGCCUCACAAGGAGCCAGUGGAAAUCGUGAGCGUAGGAGAGGGAAAAGAGGUGAAGAUUGGAUUUCGUAUCGCUACAGAAAUAAGGCGAGACCUCAUUAAAUUACUAUAAGAAUUCAAGGAUGUCUUCGCAUGGUCAUAUCAAGACAUGCCCGGGUUGAAUACUAAUAUAGUGGUACAUCGGCUCCCCAUAAAGGAAGGAUGCAAGCCAGUGCAGCAAAAGCUCCGAAGGAUGAGACCUGAUGUUCUUUUGAAAAUAAAAGAAGAGGUCAAGAAACAAUUUGAUGCCGGCUUCUUACAAGUGGUUAAAUAUUCAAAAUGGGUAGCUAAUAUAGUCUCUGUCCCUAAGAAAGAUGAAAAGGUGCGAAUAUGUGUGGACUAUCGAGAUCUGAACAAAGCCAGCCCAAAAGAUAAUUUUUCGUUGCCUCAUAUUGAUAUAUUAGUGGAUAACACAACAGGUUACUUGCUUUUCUCCUUCAUGGAUGGUUUCUCGGGAUACAACCAGAUAAAGAUGCACCUCGGAGACAUGGAAAAAACCACAUUCGUGACCAUGUGGGGAAAGUUUUGUUAUAAGGUGAUACCAUUCGGACUGAAGAACACAGGAGCGACAUAUCAGAGAGCCAUAGUAACUCUGUUUCAUGAUAUGAUGCACAAGGAGAUCGAAGUUUACGUCGAUGAUAUGAUUGAAAAAUUCAAGAAAAAAAAAGAGCACAUACAAGUCUUGAAGAAAUUGUUCUUAAGGUUAAGAAAUUUUCAAUUAAAACUCAAUCCCACAAAAUGUACCUUCGGGGCCAGGUUAGGAAAGCUGUUAGGAUUCGUAGUCAGUGAAAAGGGGAUCGAAAUUGACCUAGAAAAAGUCAAAGCCAUAUAAGAACUACCUCCACCAUGCAUUCAAAAAGAAGUUCGAGGUUUCCUAGGAAGGCUAAAUUACAUCGCUUGGUUCAUUUCACAACUAACGGAGAAAUGUGACCCGAUAUUCCGCCUCCUUAGGAAACACAAUCCAGGUGUAUGGGAUGAGGAGUGCCAAAGAACUUUUGAUAAAGUCAAGCAUUACCUGUCUAAUGCCCCGGUGCUAAUGCCACUUUACCCAGAUAAACCACUGAUACUGUAUUUAGCAGUGUUCGAGAACUCCAUGGGGUGUGUGUUAGGCCAACAUGAUAAGUCAGGAAGAAAAGAAAAGGCGAUAUACUAUCUGAGCAAGAAGUUCACUAAAUACGAGACAAGAUAUUCGCCAAUCAAAAAAUUGUGUUGUGCUUUGAUCUGGACAACCCGAAGACUGAGGCAGUACAUGUUGUACCAUACAACGUGGCUCAUCUUAAAACUAGACCCUCUGAAGUACAUGAUGGAGUCAAAUGCUUUGAACGGAAGAAUGGCUUCUUGGCAAAUUCUGCUUUCUGAAUUUGACAUAGUCUACGUGAACCAGAAGGCUAUAAAAGAGAGUGCGAUAGCAGAUUUUUUGGCCAGUAGAGCUUUAGAAGAUUAUGAGCCUUUGAGUUUUGAUUUCCCAAAUGAAGACUUAAUGUACGUUGUGACCAUGGAAGAAGACUCUCAAAAAGAUCAUCCUUGGAGACUGAAUUUUGAUGGAGCCUCAAAUGUUGUGGGUAAUGGAAUCGGGGCAGUUCUGGUACCCCCCAAAUAGAGAUCAUUAUCCCUUUACUAGUAAAUUGGAUUUUGAUUGCACAAAUAACAUGCGGAGUAUGAAACAUGCAUCAUGGGUAUCCGUGCGGCUAUUAAAUACAAAAUCAAGGUGUUAGAAGUAUAUGAAGAUUCUGCAUUAGUGAUCUAUCAGCUUAAAGGUGAAUGGGAGAUGAGAGACCCUAAAUUAAUCAAUUACCGAAAGCUGGUUCUGGAACUAAUUGAGGAGUUCGACGAUAUCACUUUUUGCUAUCUCCCACGAGAUGAAAACCAGAUGGCUGACGCCUUGGCAACUUUAGCUUCUAUGAUCAAAAUAAACAAGCAAGAGGAUGUGAAGCCUAUCCAGAUAAGUAUCUACGAGGCCCCGGCUCAUUGCUACAACAUUGAUGAAGAAGAGGAAAAAGACAAUCACCCUUGGUAUCAGGAUAUAUUACGAUAUGUAAGAAAUCGUGAAUACCCUGACCAAGCAACAGAAAAUGAUAAAAAGACAUUGAGAAGGCUAGCCAGUGACUAUGUCUUAGACGGAGAGAUCCAAUAUAAAAGAAGAAAGGAUCAGGUGCUCUUAAGAUGCGUGGAUGCUGUCGAGUCUAAGAAAAUCUUAGAAGAGGUCCAUGAGGGUGUCUGCGGAACAUACGUUAACGGUUUCACAAUGACUAGACAAAUCAUGAGGUUCAGAUAUUAUUGGUCCACUAUGAAGGGCGAUUGCAUCAACUAUGCCAAGAAGUGCCAUAAAUGUAAAAUUUAUGGAGAUAAGAUUCAUGUACCGCCUUUACCUCUUCAUGUCAUGACUUCCCCAUGGCCUUUUUCUAUGUUGGGCGUGGAUGUCAUAGGGCCGAUCUCACCAAAAGCAUCUAAUGGGAACCGAUUCAUCUUUGUGGUCAUCGAUUACUUCACCAAGUGGGUAGAAGCCACUUCUUAUGCCAACGUCACGAAAUCAGUAGUCAGCAAGUUCUUAAAGAAAGAGAUCAUAUGUCGAUAUGGAGUGCCUGAGAGGAUCAUAUCAGACAAUGAGCUGAACUUGAAUAACAGUACGAUAGCGGAAGUCUGUAGCUAAUUCAAGAUCAAACACCAUAACUCGUCGCCGUAUCACCCAAAAAUGAAUGGUGCAGUGGAAGCUGCCAAUAACAAAAUCAAGAAGAUCGUGGGAAAAAUGAUUGAGACUUAUAAAGACUGGCAUGAGAAGUUACCAUUCGCCCUUUACGCCUACCGAACAUUAGUCAGAACCUCUAUUGGGGCAACACCUUUCUCCUUAGUCUACGGAAUGGAAGCGGUUUUGCAAAUCGAAGUUGAGAUCCUGUCCCUUCGAGUGUUGUCAGAGUUAAAGUUAGAUGAAGCAGAAUGGAUCCAGUUCUGAUAUGAUCAGCUGAACUUAAUUGAAGAAAAGAGGCUGAAAGCUAUUCGUCAUGGUCAAAUGGACCAAAAGCGAAUGAUGCAAGCUUAUAACAAGAAAGUUCAUACUAGAGAAUUUUAUGAAGGAGACCUUGUUUUAAAAAAGAUUCUCCCCAUACAAAAGGAUUUCAGAGGAAAAUGAAUGCCAAAUUGAGAAGGACCUUAUGUGGUAAAGAAAGCCUUCUCUGGAGGGGCUUUGAUUUUGACUGAGAUGGAUGGAAAAAGUUUGCCUAACCCCAUGAAUUCAGAUUCGGUCAAGAGGUACUUUACUUAUAAAAAAAAAAAUAGGGAGAGGCUAAGGCGAAAACUCGCAAAAUGGCACUUUUAGACCAAAGCGGUUUUGAGUUGAAAACCCAGGAAUGGGCAAUUCAAAUUUUGCUUGAAAAUGGGGCAUACAGUAAUUUUGUCUUCUCUGAAUUAAAAAAGAGGGAUGCUACAUAUUGGGGCAUCAACAAAGUACUCUUGGUCUUCUAAACAUAUAUCAAGUUCAAAGGGUCCUCAAGAAGUUUUGGGCAAAGAAGCUCAUGCUAUGAUAUCUAGGGCACCUAUUUUUAUUCUUUUGUAUCUUAGCAAAAUUUGCUAUAUUGAUUAUCUUAUUCAUUUCGAGACUUUUCUCAAUAGAAUUCCAUCUUGUCCAUUGCGAUAAUCUUCUUCAAGCACUUUUCAUUGAAAUAACAAUUAAUGGACUAAUGAUAUUCAAAAGAAGUUUUACAUAUUACUCUGAAAUGAUUUUAAAAUGAUACAAGGACCUGAAACGGGACUAAUUAGUUUGAAUUACCCAAAUUUAAAGAAACAUUGGAAAAGAAUACCCCAAAUUGUUAUUAUUCUUUAAAAGAUACCAGCGGAAGGAAAAAGGAGUAAUAUGUCAUUGAUAAAACCUCGAUGAACAGCAAAUAAUAUCAAAUUAGGCAUUAAAAAUAACAUUUUUGCAUUCACGCUAACGUCAUCCAUGCGCAUCUAGUUAGGAGCAUUUGAUUCAUUCAUAACAUCCUAAUCAUUUAGCAUAUGCAUAGGCUCAAGAAAUCGAUUCUACAGGUCAUGUCCUUCAGAGGACGGUGUAGCAAGAUCGAUUGUAAUUACAAAUUUUGGCGAAUCUUAUCUUCCUGAAGUUGUAGUGAAGCAGAUCGAAGCCACUAACCUUAUCUCCCUAAAGUUGCAGUGGAGCAGACUGAAGAUGAUGAAUCUUAUCUUCCUGAAGUUGCAGUGAAGCAGAUCGAAGUAACUAACCUUAUCUCCCUGAAGUUGCAGUGGAGCAGACUAAAAAUAGCAAGUCUUAUUUCUCUGAAGUUGUAGUGGAACAGAUUGAAGCUAUGAAUAAACAGAUCUUAUCUCUUUGAAGUUGCAGUAGAGUAGAUCAAAACAAACCUUAUCUCCCUAAAGUUGCAGUAGAGCAAGUUGAAGUAGCAAGUCUUAUCUCCCUGAAGUUGCAGUGGAACAAACUAAAAAUAGUGAAUCUUAUUUCCCUGAAGUUGCAGUGGAACAGAUGGAAGCUAUGAAUUACAGAUCUUAUCUAUCUGAAGUUGCAGUAGAGCAGGUCAAAACAAGCCUUAUUUCCCUGAAGUUACAGUGAAACAGAUUGAAACUGUAGAUCUUAUCCCUCUGAAGUUGCAAUAGAGCAGAUCAAAACAAGUCUUAUCUCCCUGAAGUUGCAGUGGAACAAAUUGAAGCCAUAAAUUACAGAUCUUAUCUCUCUGAAGUUGCAGUAGAACAGAUCAAAACAAACCUUGUCUCCUUGAAGUUGCAGUGGAGCAGAUCGAAGUUACAAAUCUUACCCCCUGAAGUUGCAGUGGAGUAAAUCGAAGCUAUAGAUCACAAACCUUGCCUCCCUGAAGUUGCAGUGGAACAGGUUGAAAUAACAAGUCUUAUCUCCCUGGAGUUGUAGUAGAGCCGAUUGGAAUGAGGCAUAUUGAAGCUACUCGAAGAAAAGAAGCGCCAGGAGAAGUCGAGACUCAGCAAGCCCAGGCAAAAUUGGCCCUUUCAUAGUCUUUGCUUUAUUUUCGUUACACGACAAUAAGCACAGAGGGGCAGCUGUAACGAGCCUAUUUUGCCCUGGGCUAAACCAAUAACCCAAAAACAAAAAUAAAACCAAAAUAAGUUAAGAGUCUGAGUCCAAUUACAAAAAGAGCCUGAAUGUAAAACAUACCAGACCCAAAUUUACAAUCCAAAUAUAAAACCCAAAAUUUUAUAGGCCCAAAGCUAAAAAAACCUAGCCCAAGAAUAGCCCAAAACCUAAACUCAUUCAGCCAAAAAAAACCUAGGUGCCGUUCCCCCCUUUGUGUGCCUCGAGUGCGUCGUACCCCUCCAUGUUACCCUUGGCGCACACAUCGCCUGAUGGCUACUCCUUUGCACCAAAAUGGCAUGUUUUCACCCUUGUUGACCCUCUUAGCCCUGCAAAACAAUCCAGAAACGAGCAAGAACACAACAAAAGGCAACACGCGAAGACAAACAGUGGAGAAUAAAGGCUUAAACAAAAACAAAAAAAAAUAGAUUGUAUUUCGGCUAUAAAGCCAAGAAAGAACAUAUUGUAUUUUUUUUACAGACCAUUAAGCAAUCAAAAAACAAAAGGUUGAAUCUCAUCUUUUCUUCCCUAUUUU